CCUCAACUGACCUCCUUUGAGGUGGUGACACAGUGAGGAAAGAAUUCAAACUCAGUCCCUUGGACACCAGGGCUCAUAUCACAGUAUGCUGUCACUCAAUGAAGAGACAACAAAAGAAAACAGAUUAAAGUCAAGAAACUUGGGGAAAUGACAUCAAACUAAGAGAGUAUUCUCUAAGCUGGCUAUACUUUGAGUGUCAACCUGGAACAUACCCGUGGAGAGCAAAACUAAGAAACAGCAACAGGAUGAAUUAUCAGUAGUGCUCCAAGCUAAGGAAACAGUGACUCUAAAUAAGGUAUAGCAGAACAGAAGUUCUGGAGCAAUGUAGCUUGCUUGGACUGGAUUAUCCAACUGUGUCAUUCCAAAGCCAUGCUUCACUCUUCCCAUAAACCACAACUGGUUUCUCUUAGCUUACACUCAAAGGAGCAUGGACUUAUGGCUGGAUGAUGUGGACAGUGGUCCACAGGACUUUCCCAUCUGCAUGAGCAAUAUGCCUGCAGCCUGAGACUGAAGUCCCCUACAGAGAUCCACUACUGAGAUGAGUUACCUUCACCUCCUCCUUCAUUUAUGUACAACGUAUGUGCUGAGUUUCCAGUACGCUGACUCAUCUCCAUUAGGGCACAUGGCCCAUCCCAUACCAGCUUUCCUGUACUUGUGUUUGUGAUUUUUCAUAUCUGUCACCCCAGUCAGGUCAAUCCCAAAGUCAUAGCAAUGAGUUUGCUUCUCAUAAACAUUCUGAUCAUCUUACCCAUUCUCAGUUUUAAGCAAUCCUUUUGUUUCUUCACAUUAUUACAAUUUCUUCUUACAUUAAUUUUAUUGUUCAUUGUCUGGUAUAAGCUAUAGAUAUUGCAGUGAAACCAUCAAUAGUAAUAAUAAGGAAAUCAAAUAUUUUUAGCCAAAAUCUAAAGUUCUAGCUAGAUGGUUGAGCAGUUGAGAGUGAUGGCUGCUCUGGAGGACCAGAAUUCGUUUCCCAAGUAUCCACACAUUGGCUGCUUCACAACCAUCCUGUCCUGAUAAGUUUUGUGCCAUCUUGACACAAGGUGGAGUUAUCUUGGAGGAGAUUAUUAUCUGAGGUAAUGCCACCAUCAGAUUGCCAGCAGGCAUGCCUGCUGAGCAUUUUCUUGAUUGAUGAUGGAUGUGGAAGGGCCUAACCUAUCACACAGACCUGUGUUUUUACUUAUUUCACUCAAAUUCCCUUAGACUGUUGUAUUUAGCUCAGAGCCACAUAAAUUGUUUUUGUUUUGAGUCAGAAAUAACAACUGUACAGAUAUCUGGGGCUGUCACAAUAAUUUAGCAGGUAAAAGCCCUUGCCACACAUUUCUAACAACCUGUGUUUAGACCUCAGAACCCAAGGUGGAAGAAGAGAAUUGACUCCUGAAAGUUGUUCUUUGACCGCCAUCUAUAUCCUUUUGCAUGGAUACACACCUGCAUGCAUGCACACACUCAGAAUAAUCAUUAUAUGGGAAUUUGAAAAAGGAGAAAGUUGAACAUAUAUGUUUUAUAUAACAUAUUAACUUUGUAUGUUACUAUGUAGAUGCAAUUUACAAAUACUUUACUUCGGAAACAUCAUUUUGUAGUGAAAACACUUAAAAUAUUUUCUGUAAGCUAUUUGUCUGAAGUUUUGAGCCCAUGAAUAAAUAAAUACCUUUUAAAAUACAACAGUAGGAAGAAGCAAAAUAAUGUGUGAAUCAGGGCUUUGCCAAAGUAUUUCACACGAUGUUUCUCUCAAAUAUACCUGCAGACUCUAUAAAUAAUGAAUAUUCCCAUAUGUAGGAAAAUUUUUGUAUUUAUUAUUUAUUUAUUGGCAUAAAGGUGACAUCAAGUUUGUAAGAUGCUAUGCUCUGGAGAAGCUGGUGGGAAAGACUGAAAGAACAGUGUUAUAAUUAUGUAAAUCUUGGCAGAACUUCCUUUCAAGUUUCUCAGGCAAUAUUUUUUCUUGGACAGAUGGUACCAAAACUAGAGUUAUUUCUCUUCCUGGAGUCAUUGCUCUCCUGCUCAAUUGUUCCAAUAAGGUCCUGCUUUUUACCUGUGUGCUUGGAUGAUAUACUCUGUCCUCCAUUGCAUUGCAAUGUCACUACAACCCGUGGCUGUAAGAAAGAUACAUACAUACGUACAGAUCCCUCAAAGAAUUUUUGUGUAUAUUUCUAUUUUAACCCAUGUAAAUAUAUUUCGAUUCUCUCUCGUUUUUAAUUUGGCACUUUUAUCUUUAAAUCUACUUAUGUUGUUUUUUCUUUAUACUUCAAACUUCAUAAUAUCCUGUUACUGAAAUCCAUCCACUGAAUUCUGCUCAAUCACAGCAAUUAUGGGAGGGCCAUCCAGAGGUUUCCCCAGUUCUCUGCUGCUGCAAACAUUGAUCUAAUCAGUUCCUAUCAUGGACUUGUAGACAAAAAUGUGGAUUUCAUUUCUAGAUAGAAAGCAGAUCCAGAUAGCAAAAUCCUAGAUCUGAUUAUGAGUGGAAAGGGAUAAAUUGUAGCGUGGGAUCUGUUAUGAAGGGCACUUGGAGGAUAGACUACAAUAUAAAAUGAGCAACUUAACCAAAGAAAAAAAUCACAGUUAUUAAAAACUGGAUAUGAGGUGACUGUUCUAAGUGUAGAAAACAGAGUGUAGCACACAACUCUAGAAGAGAGAAAGGGAGGAGAGUGUAGAGAUAGGUCACAGUUUUCAAUAAGGAAGAAAUGGGGUUUACCAAGUCUGGUCAACAGUGGC
ensembl:lncRNA